UCCUAGGGUAGCUCAGUUGGUAGAGCACGAGGCUCUUAAUCUCAGAGUUGUGUGUUUGAGUCCGACGUUGGGCA